UUACGUUUCUUCGGCAGGGGAAACCUGUUCUGGUCCUGUUUGUGGCCGGCUACAAAGCAUUUUUCAACAUUUCACCAAAUGUUUGCGAAGCGUUUUCACAUAACAGCUCCUUUUAUCCUUACCGGAGUUCCAGAGAAAGCAAAAGACUCUACUAGGAUUCUAUUUUUAUUAGUAACAAAACCGAGACUUGGUUCAAGAAGAUAUGACCCGACUUAAAUUCGAAACGACAGAACUUGAGAAUUACUUCAGGUUUUCUUACUGCAUAGUACCGUAUGUGGUCACUUAAACACAGCCACGGUUAAAGAUCUUACAUUUUUAAAUUUUUUUUUCUGCCCGAUCUAUUAUGCUGUUCACUGCUUGUGUUGCUGACAAUUCCCCUGAAGAGAUGUCUGGUGCUUUACUUGAUUCGAAAAAUUUAGCUAAAUCAGAAAACGGGUCCCUAGGAGGCAAGUUUCGCUCAAAAGGACUGAGGGUGUAGCUCAGCGCUAACCUACAGGAUCAAACUUUACCAGCUCAACUGGGAUGCUAACACCUCUACGGGAUUGUAUUUACCAACUCCUUCCUGAGAAUAUGGGGAAUUCUGGAGGUCUUAAAAAGAGCAAGACACACCUACUCCUGGGGGCACCCAGCUCUGGCCCCCUUCUUUUUGAAGAAGUCUACGUCAUCCUUUGUCCCUCUCUUAAAUAAAACUUUCUAAGCUUG